rnacentral:rRNA from 1 species
GACGAACGCUGGCGGCGUGCCUAAUACAUGCAAGUAGAACGCUGAAGAGAGGAGCUUGCUCUUCUUGGAUGAGUUGCGCACGGGUGAGUAACGCGUAGGUAACCUGCCUUGUAGCGGGGGAUAACUAUUGGAAACGAUGGCUAAUACCGCAUAACAAUGGAUGACACAUGUCAUUUAUUUGAAAGGGGCAAUUGUUCCACUACAAGAUGGACCUGCGUUGUAUUAGCUAGUAGGUGAGGUAAUGGCUCACCUAGGCGACGAUACAUAGCCGACCUGAGAGGGUGAUCGGCCAACCUGGGACUGAGACACGGCCCAGACUCCUACGGGAGGCAGCAGGAGGGAAUCUUCGGCAAUGGGGGGAAACCUGACCGAGAAACGCCGCGGGAGUGAAGAAGGUUUUCGGAUCGGAAAGCUCGGUUGUAAGUCAAGAAAGGGUGUGAGAGUGGAAAGUUCACACUGUGACGGUAGCUUACCAGAAAGGGACGGCUAACUACGUG